rnacentral:rRNA from 1 species
AGCCGCCGCGGUAAUACCGGCGGCCCGAGUGGCGGUCACUAUUAUUGGGCUUAAAGCGUCCGUAGCCGGGUUGGGAAGUCCUCCGGGAAAUCUGGCCGCUUAACGGUCAGAAUGCCGGAGGAUACUCCCAGCCUAGGGAGCGGGAGAGGCCGAGGGUAUUCCCGGAGUAGGGGUGAAAUCCUAUAAUCCCGGGAGGACCACCUGUGGCGAAGGCGCUCGGCUGGAACGCGUCCGACGGUGAGGGACGAAGGCCAGGGGAGCAAACCGGAUUAGAUACCCGGGUAGUCCUGGCUGUAAACGAUGCGGACUUUGUGUCGGACAAGCUAUGAGCUUGUCCGGUGCCGGAGGGAAACCGUUAAGUCCGCCGCCUGGGGAGUACGGCCGCAAGGCUGAAACUUAAAGGAAUUGGCGGG